rnacentral:tRNA from 1 species
AGCUUUAUAUUCAUUUAAUGAUAUUAGAAUGCAAUUCUAAAGGAGUAAUAAAAUACUAAGGCUU